rnacentral:rRNA from 1 species
AUCAGGUAGGGACACCCGCUGAACUUAAGCAUAUCAAUAAGCGGAGGAAAAGAAAAUAACAAUGAUUCCCCUAGUAACUGCGAGUGAAGAGGGACAAGCUCAAAUUUUAAAUCUGUUAGGUAUCACCUGGCCGAGUUGUAAUUUGAAGAAGCGUUUUCUGCGUCCUUGGUCAGCCCAAGUCCUAUUGAAUGAGGCAUCAUGGAGGGUGAUAAUCCCGUCCGGUUGAUCAAUGCGUUUUACGAUACGCUCUCAAAGAGUCAAGUUGUUUGGGAUUGCAGCUUAAAAUGGGAGGUAAAUUUCUCCUAAGGCUAAAUAUUGGCGAGAGACCGAUAGCGAACAAGUACCGUGAGGGAAAGAUGAAAAGAACUUUGAAAAGAGAGUAAAAUAGUGCGUGAAAUUGUUGAAAGGGAAACGAUUGAAGUCAGUCGUACCGACGGACAAUCAGCCUUUUGAGUGCGAAUCUGUGGCUCAUGAGGAGGAAACCCUCAUGUUUUGCAUAUUUGUGCUCUUUGGGUGUAUUUGUUCGUAUGGUGGGUUAACAUCAAUUUUGGUCGUCAUAAAAUGACGGGAGGAAAGUAGCUUUGGUCUCGUAUUGAAGUGUUAUAGCCUCUGGUAGAUGUGACGACCGGGAUUGAGGAUUGCAACGGAUACCCUUUUGGGCUACUCGCCUGAUCUCUGAUCGUUACUCUGGUGCUGAAAGCUUGCUUAUGUCAUCAAAGUUGAUGGUCAAAAGGUUAGAACGGGUUAAAUUCGUUAAGGAUGUUGACGUAAUGGCUUUAAACGACCCGUCUUGAAACACGGACCAAGGAGUCUAACAUAUAUGCGAGUGUU